GAUGAACGCUAGCUACAGGCUUAACACAUGCAAGUCGAGGGGUAACGAGAGGAAAGCUUGCUUUCCUUGUCGACGACCGGCGCACGGGUGAGUAACGCGUAUCCAACCUGCCCCCAACUAGGGAAUAACCUUGCGAAAGUAAGACUAAUACCCUAUAAUUUCCUCAGAUGUCAUCUGACGAGGAAUAAAGAUUUAUCGGUUGUGGAUGGGGAUGCGUCUGAUUAGCUUGUUGGCGGGGUAACGGCCCACCAAGGCAACGAUCAGUAGGGGUUCUGAGAGGAAGGUCACCCACAUUGGAACUGAGAAACGGUCCAAACGCCUACGGGAGGCAGCAGUGAGGAAUAUUGGUCAAUGGGCGGAAGCCUGAACCAGCCAAGUAGCGUGCAGGAUGACGGCCCUAUGGGUUGUAAACUGCUUUUAUACAGGAAUAAAGUUAGCCACGUGUGGUUAUUUGUAGGUACUGUAUGAAUAAGGACCGGCUAAUUCCGUGCCAGCAGCCGCCGCAG
rnacentral:rRNA from 1 species